rnacentral:rRNA from 1 species
UACGUAGGAGGCGAGCGUUAUCCGGAUUUAUUGGGCGUAAAGAGCGCGUAGGCGGCCUAUUAAGUCAGUUGUGAAAGCUCCCAGCUUAACUGGGAGAGGUCAACUGAUACUGGUGGGCUUGAGGGCAGCAGAGGGAGGUGGAAUUCCCGGUGUAGCGGUGAAAUGCGUAGAGAUCGGGAGGAACACCAGUGGCGAAGGCGGCCUCCUGGGCUGUUUCUGACGCUGAGGCGCGAAAGCGUGGGGAGCAAACAGGAUUAGAUACCCCCGUA